AUUUGCAUGUUUUAGGACAGUGGCUCUCAAACUUUUUUUUUUGUGGACAACUUGAAAAUUGAUGAGGGUCUUGGCGGACCCCUUAAUGAUCUUUCCAAAUGUUGUUUGUACCAUUAGCUAACUAUUGUAAAGCACUUUGGAUAAAAGCGCUAUAUAAAAAACCCUUAAUAAUAAUUAAUUUUUUUUAUUCUA